rfam:Musa acuminata subsp. malaccensis Doubled-haploid Pahang (DH-Pahang) genomic chromosome, chr2
GGGGUGGUGGCGCAGUUGGUUAUCGCGUAGGUCUCAUAGCUUGAGUAAUCCUGAGGUCGAGAGUUCGAGCCUCUCUCACCCCA